rnacentral:lncRNA from 1 species
UGGACACUGAGGAACAGUUCCUGGAGAUGCUGAGGAUUAGUGGUAACAGCUGUUAUUCUCCCCAUUAGAGGAAAAACUGAAAGGAGAAGAAAAUACUUAUGUUUAAGGGAUGUGUUUGCAACUCUGCGGGAGGAAUCCAUUCUAUCAAGCCUGAAGAAAACUGUGUUCCUAGGCUCGAAGAGGGUCCGAUCAUCAAAUCGCUGGCACUUUCGUUCUCAUUCCUCCUCAUUCCAAACUGAUGACUUGUUUUCAAGAGGCUGAUGCAGUCACCCACUCUGACAAGUCCCUGAAGAGAAACCUGUCAUUCGUGUGGAAGGCCCCAGCCCAGCCUGUGGGGGACAUUAAGUUCCUGUAAGAGAGUGAAGUGCUGUUUUUUAGAAACUGAGCCUUCUACUUUGAAGAGAGGGGAGCUUCUCUUUGCCCUGACUUCAUAUUCCCUUUCCCCCUCCUUAUGUGGCCACCUUAUAGCAAGGACAGGGUCAUGGAUGCUGCCUAAACUGGAGAGCCUAUGCAGAGGGAAACUAAAAAAAAUAUUGCCCCCAAACUCAUCCCUUCAUCACUGUCCAUGGGCCUAGAGUGUGUUAUCUCCCUGCCUCCCCAGGCACAGGUAAAUCUUGGCCAACCUCUCUAGGAAUUUCUGACUAGAGGACAGAAUGGCUGGUGGUGGGGAAGGCAGGAGAGAGCCAAGAAAGAGAGAAACAGGCAGAUGGACAAAUGGACAUGUCCCUGGGCCCAGGAAAAGCUUCUUGAGGCUCUGUGCCUUGGCUUGUUUUCUAUAAAUGGGCAUAACCACAGCACCUCCCUCAGAGGGUUGUAUAUGGAUGAGAGAGCCUACGUUCGCUCAGAACAGUUCCUGGCAACAGUAAGC